rnacentral:rRNA from 1 species
CGUAGGGGGCUAGCGUUGUCCGGAAUCAUUGGGCGUAAAGCGCGCGUAGGCGGCCCGGUAAGUCCGCUGUAAAAGUCAAAGGCUCAACCUUUGAAUGUCAGUGGAUACUGCCGGGCUAGAGUCCGGAAGAGGCGAGUGGAAUUCCUGGUGUAGCGGUGGAAUGCGCAGAUAUCAGGAGGAACACCAACGGCGAAGGCAGCUCGCUAGGACGGUACUGACGCUAAGGCGCGAAAGCGUGGGGAGCGAACAGGAUUAGAUACCCUGGUAGUCCACGCCGUAAACGAUGGGCACUAGGUGUGGGAGGUGUCGACUCCUCCCGUGCCGGCGCUAACGCAUUAAGUGCCCCGCCUGGGGAGUACGGCCGCAAGGCUA